UAUUUUAUUAGCCUUUAGUAUGUUGUUAGCUCUUUCCGAAUUUACACAUGUUUCUUUAGGGGUGUAGGGAGUUAGUUCUUAUUAGUUGCCGAAAGUUUUGUGUAAGACUUUAUUAUUAAAUAUGUACGGUGGUUUUUUGAAACUGGUUAAUAAGUUUAUGUAUUACAAUUAUUAGAUUUAUUCCCCUUCAUCAGUGGUUAAAAUUAUGGAGUUUUUUAACUAAAUACCUAGUUAGGAUGGAAAAGAGAGGAAGGUAAUUAAGUGCCAGCACCUGCGGUUAAACUUGUUCCUCGCGUUAAUGAUUCUAUGUGGUGUGGUUCCAGAGAAUUUAAAAUAAUAUUUUUGGUUAUAUUGGUGAAAUGAGUAAUUAACUGUUUGUAUUGGUUUAGAGUUUUGUGAGUUUUUACUCUGUAGGCCUAGAAGGCUGUAUUUUUAGGAUACGGGGAUUAGAUACCCCCUUAUUAAUGCUGUAGUACGAUCCAUGGGGAUUACGAGUGAUUUGGCUUAAAAUCCAAGGAGGUUGGCGGUGUCUCAAAUCAGUUGAGGGGAACUUGGCGGUUAAUUCGAUGAUCCUCGAGGACUUUACCUCUUGUGUUCUUAACAUACCGCCGUUGUCAGCAACUUUUUCAAUAAUAUAAAUGGUCGCUAGGAAUAUUACGUGGUUGAUGACUAUCUGGUCUAUGCGAAUUCAGGUAAACGUGUUGGUUGUCAAGAGGGCUUAGCUGAGUUACAAUUAUGAAAUAAUACGGAUAAUGUGUUUAUGUUGAAAUGAUUAAUUAGAAGGUGUACUUCACAGUAAUAACUUUGAGUGAGUGGUUGUGAAUGUGGUUAGUGAGACGUGUACAAAUCGCCCGGCACCCCUGUAUAUAAAAAUCUGGGUAAGUCGUAACAUAGUAAUGCUACUAGAAAGUGGUUUUAUAUAAA
rnacentral:rRNA from 1 species